rnacentral:rRNA from 1 species
UGGGGAAUUUUGGACAAUGGGCGAAAGCCUGAUCCAGCCAUGCCGCGUGAGUGAAGAAGGCCUUCGGGUUGUAAAGCUCUUUUAGUCGGAAAGAAAGAGUUGCAAUGAAUAAUUGUGAUUUAUGACGGUACCGACAGAAAAAGCACCGGCUAACUACGUGCCAGCAGCCGCGGUAAUACGUAGGGUGCGAGCGUUAAUCGGAAUUACUGGGCGUAAAGGGUGCGCAGGCGGUCUUGCAAGUCAGAUGUGAAAGCCCCGGGCUUAACCUGGGAAUUGCGUUUGAAACUACAAGGCUAGAGUGCAGCAGGGGGGAGUGGAAUUCCAUGUGUAGCAGUGAAAUGCGUAGAGAUGUGGAAGAACACCGAUGGCGAAGGCAGCUCCCUGGGUUGACACUGACGCUCAUGCACGAAAGCGUGGGGAGCAAACA